rnacentral:rRNA from 1 species
GACGAACGCUGGCGGCGUGCCUAAUACAUGCAAGUAGAACGCUGAAGGGAGAGCUUGCUCUUCUGGAUGAGUUGCGAACGGGUGAGUAACGCGUAGGUAACCUGCCUGGUAGCGGGGGAUAACUAUUGGAAACGAUAGCUAAUACCGCAUAACAUUGACUAUUGCAUGAUAGUCAAUUGAAAGGUGCAAUUGCACUACUACCAGAUGGACCUGCGUUGUAUUAGCUAGUUGGUGGGGUAACGGCUCACCAAGGCGACGAUACAUAGCCGACCUGAGAGGGUGAUCGGCCACAUUGGGACUGAGACACGGCCCAGACUCCUACGGGAGGCAGCAGUAGGGAAUCUUCGGCAAUGGACGGAAGUCUGACCGAGCAACGCCGCGUGAGUGAAAGAAAGGUUUUUCGGAUCGGAAAAGCUCUGUUGUAAAGGAGAAAGAAACG